rnacentral:rRNA from 2 species
UACGUAGGGUGCGAGCGUUAAUCGGAAUUACUGGGCGUAAAGCGGGCGCAGACGGUUACUUAAGCAGGAUGUGAAAUCCCCGGGCUCAACCUGGGAACUGCGUUCUGAACUGGGUGACUAGAGUGUGUCAGAGGGAGGUAGAAUUCCACGUGUAGCAGUGAAAUGCGUAGAGAUGUGGAGGAAUACCGAUGGCGAAGGCAGCCUCCUGGGAUAACACUGACGUUCAUGCCCGAAAGCGUGGGUAGCAAACAGG